rnacentral:rRNA from 1 species
GACGAACGCUGGCGGCGUGCCUAAUACAUGCAAGUCGAACGCAGUUGGGACGGGUGAGUAACACGUGGGUAACCUCCCAUCAGAGGGGAUAACACUUGCAAACAGGUGCUAAACCGAUCCUGAUGGAUGGACUCGCGGUGCAUUAGCUAGUUGGUGAGGUAACGGCUCACCAAGGCCACGAUGCAUAGCCGACCUGAGAGGGUGAGCGGCGACAAUGGGACUGAGACACGGAGCAGAGGCCUACGGGAGGCAGCAGUAGGGAAGCGUCGGCAAUGGAAGAAAGGCUGACCGAGCAACGCAGCGUGAGUGAAGAGGGUUGUCGGAUCGUAAAACUCUGUUGUUAGAGAAGCGGUAUCUAACCAGAAAGCCACGGCUAACUACGUGCCAGCAGCCGCGGUAAUAC